AUUGAACGCUGGCGGCAGGCCUAACACAUGCAAGUCGAGCGGCAGCGGGAAAGUAGCUUGCUACUUUUGCCGGCGAGCGGCGGACGGGUGAGUAAUGCCUGGGAAAUUGCCCGGUCGAGGGGGAUAACAGUUGGAAACGACUGCUCAUACCGCAUACGCCCUACGGGGGAAAGCAGGGGACAUUCGGGCCUUGCGCGAUUGGAUAUGCCCAGGUGGGAUUAGCUAGUUGGUGAGGUAAUGGUUAACCAAGGCGACGAUCCCUAGCUGGUCUGAGAGGAUGAUCAGCCACACUGGAACUGAGACACGGUCCAGACUCCUACGGGAGGCAGCAGUGGGGAAUAUUGCACAAUGGGGGAAACCCUGAUGCAGCCAUGCCGCGUGUGUGAAGAAGGCCUUCGGGUUGUAAAGCACUUUCAGCGAGGAGGAAAGGUUGAUGCCUAAUAUGUAUCAACUGUGACGUUACUCGCAGAAGAAGCACCGGCUAACUCCGUGCCAGCCGCCGCAGUAAAAC
rnacentral:rRNA from 1 species